rnacentral:tRNA from 1 species
GCCGGGGUGGCGGAACUGGUAGACGCGGUGGCCUUAGGAGCCACCGCCCGAGAGGGCGUGCAGGUUCGAGUCCUGUCCCCGGCACCA